AUGCCCUUCGCAAAGCAGUCCAAAAUGGUCAGCAGAUAUCAACAGAAAACAGAAGAGGACACUUCCAUCUCUGAGUUUGCUAAAAUCAACUUUUGGGAUNGGCUUCGCCAACAACCAAACCUUCAAUGGAGGGAAGGCUACCAUGAGGCACCAUCCCUGCUGACCUCUGGCUGCGUGGUAGGAAGGCCUGAAGUGGCUGAAGGAGACCUUUUGCCCUGGCAGGUGAUCUCAACCUUGGAGGAACUUCCGUCGCCCAAGGAGCUGUGUCAGAGGAAGAGGAAAGGUCCAAAACAAAGACGUCUUGACGGCGUCACAGCUUUGUCCGUCUGCUGUCAUCUCGAGGAACUGAAACGGCGACAAAACAGCAUUGAUGAGUUGAAAAGGGCUAAAUGGGGCAUGUGCUCAUCCCAGCAGCUCUGUGGAAGUGCAGAGGGCAGGGCAGACUCAUUCACACACAUAGAUGUUCGUGAAGAUUCCUUGAGCCCCUUUGCUGUAUUAAGACCACCUGCCCGACCCUGUGGAGAGAAUUCAGGCUUCAACAGACACAGUAAUACACAGCUCCUCUAUCCAGAGUGGAGCCCUGCCACGAGAGGCCAGUGGACGAUCCCUCNAGGGAGUCCCGUGAUCUCGUACACGAUGGCGACGCACAGCAGGUGUCACGCGCCCGAGGAGGAGCUCUGGAGGUCCACGCUGCCGCCAGAGGAAUGACCAGAGGAAAGUAACGGGAGGGAGGGAGGCGGUCGCUGCUGGGGCGAAGAUGCUGGUUCAGGCGUAAGGCACGGGGAUUGCAAAUCAUAACUCGUCCGGUCUUAACAAGGCACCAGAGCCAAGAACAGGCUGUGUUUGAUCCCUCCUGUCCUAUAAGCCUUUAUUUUUGCAAUGAUAUGUGUUUAUUAGCCAGGUCUCCGCACUCACAUUCACCGGUGUGCCUUUCUCCCUCUGUGUCAUGGGUAAGGCUUCCAAAAGCGAAGAGAGGAAGAAAGGGAGAGAGAGAGAAGCCAUGGGAGCUUUCAAGAGUGUUUCCAUAGCAAUGCAGCAGCGUUGGAAGUAGAGAGACCCACAUGUAUUUAUUUGCAAAAGGAGAGAAGCUCUCCCUCCCUCCCUCCCUCCCAGUUUGCGUAGGUGUAUGCUCUAGAGUUAUAGACAUUUAUUUGGGAAGAAAGAAACGUUGCAGGCAGUUUCUGCAGCUCUGGAGUUUUGAUGGUUGGUUUUAAUUAACCAUUGUCUCGUAACAAAAGAGAGGAUCAUUCCUGGAGCCUGGAAUAAANGUAAGGAGCUGUGAUAGGUGCCA
rnacentral:lncRNA from 1 species